rnacentral:rRNA from 1 species
UAAGGGCGUGCGUGUGGAUGCCUUGGCGCAAGUAGGCGAUGAAGGACGUGGCUAGCUGCGAUAAGCCUCGGGUAGUGGCAAGCACACUGUGACCCGGGGAUCUCCGAAUGGGGGAACCCGAUGGAUGCGAACAUCCAUCAUCCUGUAGUGAAUCCAUAGCUGCAGGAGGCGAACCUGGGGAAGUGAACCAUCUCAGUACCCAGAGGAAAAGAAAACAACCGUGAUUCCGAAAGUAGUGGCGAGCGAAAUCGGAAGAGCCUAAACCAGGCGAUUCGAAAGGAGAGCCUGGGGUUGCAGGGCCACAAUAAUCUCGUGGAGACGAAGCGGGAGACCGGUUCGGCUCGCACGAGGUUAAACGAGGGAUAGGAAAGCGUUAACUGAACGGUCUGGAAAGGCCGGCCAUAGAGGGUGACAGCCCCGUAAGUGAAAAUGCAAUCCUCCUUCUAGUGGUCCCUAAGUACCGCGGGGCACGUGGAACCUUGCGGGAAUCCGCCGGGACCAUCCGGCAAGGCUAAAUACUCACUUGCGACCGAUAGUGAACUAGUACCGUGAGGGAAAGGUGAAAAGGACCCCUGCUAGGGGAGUGAAAUAGUACCUGAAACCGCACGCCUACAAGCAGUCGGAGGGCUAUGCUCCGCAAGGAGAAUGCCUGACGUCGUGCCUAUUGAAUAAUGAGCUGGCUAGUUAUUCUCAGUGGCGAGGUUAAGCGAAAGCGAGCCGUAGCGAAAGCGAGUCUGAAUAGGGCGUUUAGUCGCUGGGAAUAGACGCGAAGCGGGAUGAUCUACCCUUGGCCAGGAUGAAAUCCGUGUAACAGCGGAUGGAGGUCCGAACCAGUGUUGGUUGAAAACAGCUUGGAUGAGCUGAGGGUAGGGGUGAAAGGCUAAUCAAAUUCCGUGAUAGCUCGUUCUCUCCGAAAUAGCUUUAGGGCUAGCCUCGCGUGGUCCGCCGCGGCGGUAGAGCACUGGAUGAACUAGGGGCCUUCCCAGGUUACCGAAUUCAACCAAACUCCGAAUGCCGCGGACGAAAGCGCGGGAGUCAGACAGCGGGGGCUAAGCUUCGUUGUCAAAAGGGAAACAGCCCAGACCAUCAACUAAGGUCCCCAAAUCUGCACUAAGUGGGAAAGGAAGUCGAGAGGCUCAGACAGCCAGGAGGUUGGCUUAGAAGCAGCCAUCCUUUAAAGAAAGCGUAAUAGCUCACUGGUCGAGCCGCUCGGUGCCGACAAUCCAACGGGGCUCAAGUGCAGUACCGAAGUUAUGGGUCAGCGGGAAACCGCUGGCGGUAGGAGAGCGUUCUGAACGCGGUGAAGGCGGACCGAGAGGACCGGUGGAGCGUUCGGAAGUGACUCUGCCAGCAUAAGUAGCGAGAAACCAGGUGAGAACCCUGGUCGCCGAAAGUCUAAGGAUUCCUGAGAAAGGUUAAUCCGCUCAGGGUUAGUCGGGGCCUAAGGCGAGGCCGAAAGGCGUAGCUGAUGGACACACGGUCAACAUUCCGUGACUACCUUGGCCCGAUAAAGACCGAUGGGGGGACGCGGACUGCAGGCCUCUCUGCGCAAUGGUUCCAAAGAGAGGUGAGCAGGAGGCCGGGAGAGGAAAAUCCGCCCGGUCGCCCGCCAGGAAAAGCCUCUAAGGAGGGUCAAGGUACCCGUACCACAAACCGACACAGGUGGACGAGAUGAGUAUUCUCAGGCGCUCGGGUGAUGGGUUGUUCAGGAACUAGGCAAAUUAGCACCGUAACUUCGGGAGAAGGUGUGCCUCACUCCGGUGGGGCCGCAGUGAAAUGCCUCAGGCGACUGUUUAACAAAAACACAGGUCUCUGCAAAGUCGAAAACGACGUAUAGGGGCUGACGCCUGCCCGGUGCCGGAAGGUUAAAGGGAGAGGUUAGCCGCAAGGCGAAGCUUCGAACUGAAGCCCCGGUGAACGGCGGCCGUAACUAUAACGGUCCUAAGGUAGCGAAAUUCCUUGUCGGGUAAGUUCCGACCUGCACGAAUGGCGUAACGAUCUGAGGACUGUCUUAACAACCCGCCCGGCGAACUUGUGGUCCCGGUGAAGACGCCGGGUGCCCGCCACUAGACGGAAAGACCCCGUGCACCUUUACUAUACCCUAUCAGUGGACUAUGGGGCGGUUUGCGCAGGAUAGGUGGGAGGCUUUGAACCCGGGUUUUCGGACUCGGGGGAGCCAACGGUGAGAUACCACCCUGAUCGUUCUGUGGUUCUAACCUACUCCCGUAAUCCGGGAGAGGGACCCUGAUAGGCGGGUAGUUUGACUGGGGCGGUCGCCUCCUAAACGGUAACGGAGGCGCGCGAAGCUUGGUUCACGCUGUUUGGAAAUCAGCGGUCGAGUGCAAAGGCAUAAACCAGGUUGACUGCGAGACCUACAAGUCAAGCAGGUGCGAAAGCAGGCCUUAGUGAUCCGGUGGUUCUGUAUGGAAGGGCCAUCGCUCAACGGAUAAAAGGUACGCCGGGGAUAACAGGCUGAUCGGAGUCAAGAGUUCACAUCGACGCUCCGGUUUGGCACCUCGAUGUCGGCUCAUCGCAUCCUGGGGGUGUAGAAUCUCCCAAGGGUUAGGCUGUUCGCCUAUUAAAGCGGUACGUGAGCUGGGUUCAGAACGUCGCGAGACAGUUCGGUCCCUAUCUGUGGUGGGCGUAGGAGAUUUGAGGGGAGCUGCCCUUAGUACGAGAGGACCGGGGUGGACGAACCUCUUGUGAUCCAGUUGUCGCGCCAGCGGCACAGCUGGGUAGCGAAGUUCGGUCUGGAUAAGCGCUGAAAGCAUCUAAGCGCGAAGCCAUCCCCAAGAUAAGAUCUCCCAACCGAAAGGUAAGAAGGGCACUGGUAGACUACCAGUUUGAUAGGACGGAUGUGGAAGCGUGGUAACACGUUGAGCUUACCGUUACUAAUAGCCCGUUCGGCUUGACC